rnacentral:rRNA from 1 species
GAUUAACGCUGGCGGCGUGCAUAACACAUGCAAGUCGAACGAAGUGGCGGACGGGUGAGUAACGCGUGAGUAACCUGCCUUAGAGAAGGGGAUAGCCUUUGGAAACGAAGAAUAAUACCCUAUACUCUAAGAUGGACUUGCGUCUGAUUAGUUAGUUGGUGAGGUAACGGCCCACCAAGACAGCGAUCAGUAGCCGGCUUGAGAGAGUGUACGGCCACAUUGGGACUGAGACACGGCCCAGACUCUACGGGAGGCAGCAGUGGGGAAUUUUGCACAAUGGGGGAAACCCUGAUGCAGCGACGCCGCGUGAUUUAGAAGGCCUUCGGGUUGUAAAAAUCUUCGCUAUCGAACAUUUUUUUGGUGGGUUGAGGGUAGGUGGAGAAGAAGCGCCGGCUAACUACGUGCCAGCAGCCGCGGUAAUUC